UACGUAGGGGGCAAGCGUUGUCCGGAAUCAUUGGGCGUAAAGCGCGUGUAGGCGGUUCGGUAAGUCUGCUGUGAAAGUCCAGGGCUCAACCCUGGGAUGCCGGUGGAUACUGUCGGGCUAGAGUACGGAAGAGGCGAGUGGAAUUCCCGGUGUAGCGGUGAAAUGCGCAGAUAUCAGGAGGAACACCAAUUGCGAAGGCAGCUCGCUGGGACGUAACUGACGCUGAGACGCGAAAGCGUGGGGAGCAAACAGG
rnacentral:rRNA from 1 species